rnacentral:rRNA from 1 species
AUUGAACGCUGGCGGCAGGCCUAACACAUGCAAGUCGACCUUAGUGGCGAACGGGUGAGUAACACGUGGGUAACCUGCCCAUCAGAAGGGGAUAACACUUGGAAACAGGUGCUAAUACCGUAUACUGAUGGAUGGACCCGCGGGGCAUUAGCUAGUUGGUGGGGUAACGGCUCACCUAGGCGACGAUCCCGAGCUGGGUUGAGAGGCUUACCAGCCACACGGGAACUGAGACACGGUCCAGACUCCUACGGGAGGCAGCAGUGGGGAAUAUUGCACAAUGGGCGCAAGCCUGAUAGAGCCAUGCCGCGUGUAUGAAGAAGGCCUUCGGAUUGUAAAGCACUUUAAGUUGGGAGGCGUUACCAACAGAAUAAGCACCGGCUAACUUCGUGCCAGCCGCCGCGGUAAUUC